ACGAUUUGUUCUUUGUAGGUAAUAGGAAUUGCUGCACAGACACGACUAUUACGAUAAUGAUGCGGGCACUGUUUGUGGCAACAAUACUGUUGUUUCUGUUCACACCAGGUGCUGUCGGCGCUCAAGGUGGGUGCAAUUGUGCGAUGCUGUUAGCCCCGGUGUGUGGGGUUGACGGGAAAACCUACGGAAACUGGUGCGUUCUCAACUGCGCAGGCGUAAGGAUGAAGCAUAGAGGAUCGUGUAGAUACGGGCAAUAAAGAAGAAGAGCAACCAGCAAGUUACGAAUUUACAGAAAAAAACUAGAAUGAAGAAACUUUAAUUAUAAUUUAAUUUGCAUAUUGUCUUAAAUAUUUUCUAUUAAUCUUACUAUGUCUCGUAAUAAAGGAUAACCAUUAAGCAUUUUUA